rnacentral:rRNA from 3 species
GACGAACCGAGCGAACGUUGUUCGGAAUAACUGGGCUUAAAGGGCGCGUAGGCGGGCCGCCAAGUUCGAGGUGAAAUCCUCCGGCUCAACCGGAGAACUGCCUCGAAUACUGGAGGCCUCGAGGCGGGUAGGGGCGUGCGGAACUGUGGGUGGAGCGGUGAAAUGCGUUGAUAUCCACAGGAACUCCGGUGGCGAAGGCGGCACGCUGGACCCGAUCUGACGCUGAGGCGCGAAAGCCAGGGGAGCAAACGGG